UACGAACUGUCCUAACGUUGUUCGGAAUCAUUGGGCGUAAAGCGCGUGUAGGCGGCCCGGUAAGUCCGCUGUGAAAGUCCAGGGCUCAACCCUGGAAUGCCAGUGGAUACUGUCGGGCUCGAGUCCGGAAGAGGCGAGUGGAAUUCCUGGUGUAGCGGUGAAAUGCGCAGAUAUCAGGAGGAACACCGAUGGCGAAGGCAACUCGCUGGGACGGUACUGACGCUGAGACGCGAAAGCGUGGGGAGCAAACAGG
rnacentral:rRNA from 1 species